GGGGGGGGGGAGGAGGUCUAGGUGAUCUAUCCAUUGAUAUAGGUUAAUUUCUCAUCACAUAAGCCUGGUGCUUCUGCAGUAGGAAGCUUGCAAUUGUGGAAAAGGGACGCCUUUUGGGACUGAAGUCAUUUUGUCAACAGACUUUAGAGGGAAGGCUGAAAAAUAAAACCAUGGGAGCUCCAAAAUAUCUCAGGACUUCUGUAAACACUGG